rnacentral:rRNA from 1 species
AGUGAACGCUGGCGGUAGGCCUAACACAUGCAAGUCGAACGGCAGCACAGUAAGAGCUUGCUCUUACGGGUGGCGAGUGGCGGACGGGUGAGGAAUACAUCGGAAUCUACUUUUUCGUGGGGGAUAACGUAGGGAAACUUACGCUAAUACCGCAUACGACCUACGGGUGAAAGCAGGGGAUCUUCGGACCUUGCGCGAUUGAAUGAGCCGAUGUCAGAUUAGCUAGUUGGCGGGGUAAAGGCCCACCAAGGCGACGAUCCGUAGCUGGUCUGAGAGGAUGAUCAGCCACACUGGAACUGAGACACGGUCCAGACUCCUACGGGAGGCAGCAGUGGGGAAUAUUGGACAAUGGGCGCAAACCUGAUCCAGCCAUACCGCGUGGGUGAAGAAGGCCUUCGGGUUGUAAAGCCCUUUUGUUGGGAAAGAAAAGCAGCAGGUUAAUACCCCGCUGUUCUGACGGUACCCAAAGAAUAAGCACCGGCUAACUUCGUG